rnacentral:rRNA from 1 species
GUCGAACGAGAAAGUCCUUCGGGGCGAGUACAGUGGCGCACGGGUGAGUAACGCGUAGAUGAUAUGCCUUUUAGUGGGGGACAACAUCGUGAAAACGGUGCUAAUACCGCAUAAGCUUAGUGACAUUGAAAAAACUAAGGAAAGGGGGCUCCGGCUCUCGCUGGAAGAUUGGUCUGCGUGACAUUAGCUUGUUGGUGGGGUAAUGGCCUACCAAGGCAACGAUGUCUAACUGGUCUGAGAGGAUGAUCAGUCACACUGGAACUGAGACACGGUCCAGACUCCUACGGGAGGCAGCAGUAGGGAAUAUUGCACAAUGGGGGAAACCCUGAUGCAGCAAUGCCACGUGAGUGAGGAAUGCCUUCGGGUUGUAAAGCUCUGUCCUAUAGGAAGAACGGUUUAUCGGUUAAUACCCGGUUUAUUUGACGGUACUAUAGAAGAAAGCACCGGCUAACUCCGUGCCAGCAGCCGCGGUAAUACGGAGGGUGCAAGCGUUGUUCGGAUUUAUUGGGCGUAAAGCGCGCCCAGNCGGACUACCAAGUCAAAUGUGAAAUCUCGGGGGCUCACCUCGAACCUGCGUCUGAACUGUUAGCCUAAAAUUCCAAAGGGGGAAGGGGAAUUUCCCGUGUAAGGGGUAAAUCCCUAAAGAU